GAACAUCUUAGGCAGAGCAGCUAAUACACUAUUUGAUUCUCUAUAAAAAUUCAAAGAUCGGAUUGAUUGCAUAUUCUCUGCUUAAUUUUAAGGGGAGAAGAACAGAUACAAUAAGUAAAAGCCCUGUAUAGCAGAGGCAUUCCACGAAGUCCAUUUUGCACACACAGUCCACUUUCUGCAAAAAAAUUCCAUCCAUAACUUGCAAUUUUAGAACAGAUUUUCAAAGCAAAGAUCAGCUAAU